rnacentral:antisense_RNA from 1 species
AUGGAUAAGAGAAACAAUGUGGUGAUGACUAAUAAUUAGCAUGGCUUCCAUGCUAGGACAGUAACGGGAACUGGUAGAGACCAUGGCUGAAUGAAGACCAUACACAUUGCGUAUAGAAGGCAGCCCCUACUCAGCUUAGCCAAAUUUUCUCAUGUCGAAUUAUAGGUCUUAGUGGGUCUAGAUCUUAAUAUAUUUUUGAGAAAAGCUAGAAAUGUGGAUUUUUAUAUCAAAUGUAUCCAUUUUUAAUGUUGGUGCAAUUUCUAAAAAUAAACAAAAACUGUAUGGGCCAAAUAAAAUAUAUAUGCAAGCUGAAUUAGGCUAGUGGAUUACUAGUUUGAGAACUCUUAUUUAGAAAGAUCUGCCUCUGAGAAUUCGUGUUUCCUUCUUGAGCAGGCAGAAUAUGGAUCUGUGUGUAUGUGCUUCUAUGUAUGGGAUUUAGCAAUUAACCAGUACCCCUGCCCCCUUCAAAAGGCGCAUAUUGAUGAAAUCAUCUGUGACCUCACAGGAAUCACAGAUGAUAUUCCUAUGACACCCUAGAUUGUUCUGUUACACAAGGGGUACCAAAGUCCACCCUGAGCUUUUCCUCUGGGAACAGAUUCCAGAUUAUUCCAGACUUAAGACAUGGAGAUAUAUCUUGCUAGAGGUAGGAAGAUGAUAAGAUCAGUUUCUAUAGGUAGAGGAUAAUGUGUCCUAAAACGUAGGUAGAGAUAAGUCUGACAGUGGUUUAGUCAAGAAGGGCCUCUGCUAAUGCUGGAGAGCUCAAGAAAGAAAAGAGCAAUGUUAAGUGAGGCUGUACCCACAGAUCAUGCUCAAGCAAACUCGAACCUGUAAGAUGAAAGAGGACCUGCCCUCCAUUCUAUCUACUCCCUCUCUGCAAAGGCCAUUUUGAAGAUCUCAGUUUUACUGAAAGGGGUCUGCCACACAUAACUUCCCUGGUGUACCAGCAACAAGUGUUCAGUGGACCAUGGCAACACAGAGAAUGACGGAGGAGAGAAAAUGCCAUGCAGAAGUGAUAGUCAAGAUGAAGAUGUGGCAGAAGAGCAGCCCCCAGUAUAUAUUCAGUGUGUCCUCUGAAGUAACAACCAUCCCAUCUGGCUGAGAAGUGAUGGACACGGCUCCUUAACCACACUGUACCCUCCGUUCUUGGCACCUCUCUACCAG